AGCGUGUCGUAGAACCUUUUGCACGUCUGCGAGUAGCGCGUGUGGGCGCGCCCACGCACAUCCCGAUCCGCCCCCACUGUACGAACGCCACGACCGUACUGGGAAUGAUUCCGCUGGAGACAGAAUGCCGCUAAUUAACUAAAGCUGUCCUAACUGAUCCAAAGGUCCGAGCCAGGGAGCCGCAGAAGCCCCAGGUCUGAGGAUGCUUAACAACAGACAAGACCUGCGAGCCCUAGACACUUCGCACCAAGCUGACAGCGUACCCCACCAGUCUGAUCCAAGCUGUACUAUUGCCGACAUGCCUUCUACCUGAUUGGAUGUAAUUAAAAUGUGUAAUUUCUUAUUUGGAAUAUUCUAAUUAUAAUAUUUAUAUAAUAA